rnacentral:rRNA from 1 species
UACGGAGGGGGCUAGCGUUGUUCGGAAUUACUGGGCGUAAAGCGCACGUAGGCGGCUUUGUAAGUUAGAGGUGAAGGCCCGGGGCUCAACUCCGGAAUUGCCUUUAAGACUGCAUCGCUUGAACGUCGGAGAGGUGAGUGGAAUUCCGAGUGUAGAGGUGAAAUUCGUAGAUAUUCGGAAGAACACCAGUGGCGAAGGCGGCUCACUGGACGACUGUUGACGCUGAGGUGCGAAAGCGUGGGGAGCAAACAGG